rnacentral:rRNA from 1 species
CCCUUAGAUGUUCUGGGUCGCACACGCGCUACACUGAAGGAGGCAGCGUGUACUCCUGGAUCGAAAGAUUUGGGUAACCCGCGAAUCUCCUUCGUGCUAGGGAUUGAGGUUUGCAAUUAUCCUUCAUGAACGAGGAAUUCCCAGUAAGUGCAAGUCAUAAGCUUGCGCUGACUACGUCCCUGCCCUUUGUACACACCGCCCGUCGCUACUACCGAUUGAAUGAUCUAGUGAGGACUUCGGACUGGGACCGAUGCGGCUUUCGGGCUGCGUCGGUAUUCUGGAAAGAUGUCCAAACUGUAUCAUUUAGAGGAAGUAAAANUCGUANCA